CCUUGUGGAGACAAUGCCAGGCCGAGACGCACGCUGUCUCUCAGAGAUGAGGCGAAGCGCAGUCCUGUAGCAGCUCGGGGUCGCGUUAUCGCCACGCCUGACGCCUUCAGUACGCUUUGCACUCAGCCAACUGUCAGUCUCGCCUGGAAUGCUCACCAGAAAUUUGACUGGAAACCUGGAUCUUCAAAGCCGAAAGCCUCAAGCCCAUUUACACCCCGUGUCCCGCCAGGGUGGAUAGCAGAUCCCAGACUGCGGCCUUGGAGGCGAGCCGGCCUGGUUUACUCCAGGUCAACGCACAGGAAACGCUGGAGCCUCGUAAAUGUGUGCAGCCUCACUCCCGAUUGAACAAACAGCACA